AUGAGCUCCAAGAUGGCAUCGAGGAAGAAGCCGGCGCCCAAGCUGGACACCACCUUCUGCUGCCCCUUCUGCAACCACCCCGGCGGCGUGUCCUGCACCAUCGACCUCAAGCUCUACGUCGCCAACGCCGUCUGCUACGUCUGCCAGGAGGCCUACCACACCACGGCGCACUACCUCACCGAGCCCGUCGACGUCUACCACGACUGGAUCGACGCCUGCGAGAAGGCCAACCAAGAAGUCGAAGCUGUGGACUGCUAG
rnacentral:rRNA from 1 species